CCUGGUGCUUUUGGCGCAGUGGAACCACUCUGAACCAUCCCGAACUCAGUUGUGAAACGCUGCUGCGGCGACGAUACUUUGGGGGUAGCCCCACGGGAAAAUAGCUCGGUGCCAGGU
rnacentral:rRNA from 1 species